rnacentral:lncRNA from 1 species
CUUUGUAUCUCUUGUGUAGAAUGAGGACAAUGAAAGCCAGGAAGACUCCAUAGAGGUAAUUUCUGUUUCCUCCGACUCAUCUUCUCCUCCACCAAAGCCGGCCAGGCGAAUUUGUGGGAAAGUUCCCUUCUCACACCCAAAUGCUUGUUUGGAUCCAAAUUUCCUUUUGAAGAAAGCGCAACAUACUUCAAAUCGGAAAACUCGGAGUCAUUCUGGAGACUUGGUGUCCGGGUUACCAACAAGAACGAAGAAAAGGCAAAAUGAGGUAUCUUUUAAUAACACUUCUUCAUGUCCUUUUGGAUCGCGUUUGUAACUCGCUCACAUCUUUGAAGUAUUAUUUUUGCAGAGUUCUCCUCCCACAUCCGUCGACUCAGUUAAGUCGGCACUUCCACCGAUGAUCCGUGUCCCUGGGUAAGCCUUUGACAACAUUUACCUUUGUUCUGAUGGUGGUAAUAUCUGUUCUUUUAAAACGCACCCCCGUUCUCCUCUUAGGGCACAGGCGAAGAAAAGGAAAACUGGCGGGUCAACUCCCAUUACAGCUUCGGAGCCUAUUGAAAAAUCGGCGCCGAUCCAGGACAACCCGGAUCAAGACAAACCUGAAGAUCAAGUGGAUCUCCCAAGCU